rnacentral:rRNA from 1 species
AUGGGCCUCCUCACCCAGGCUGAUAGAGGGCUCGGGUGUCGGCUGCCCGACAGGUCCGCCGUCGCCGACUUCGUCUUCAAUGGCUCCGCCCUUGCGCGGUUCCUCUCUGACAAAGGCAAGUGGAAGAUGGUGAUGAUGGGCUCGCCUGGCGGACCGCUGCUCCCGCGCGAGAUGGAGAUGAACCAGGAGACGGUUGCCUUCGGCGGCCACCUGUGGUGGGUCGACCUGACCUUGGGCGCCGUCUCCAUCGACCCCUUCGCCGACCGGCCGGAGAUCUGCUUCGUCGAGCUGCCGAGCGGCAGCGUGCUGCCUGCGCCUGCAUGUGCGGAUAGGCUGGAUCUAGCAUGGGGCAUGGGUGUACAGAUGUACACCUAA